rnacentral:rRNA from 1 species
AGUGAACGCUGGCGGUAGGCCUAACACAUGCAAGUCGAACGGCAGCACAGGAGAGCUUGCUCUCUGGGUGGCGAGUGGCGGACGGGUGAGGAAUACAUCGGAAUCUACUCUGUCGUGGGGGAUAACGUAGGGAAACUUACGCUAAUACCGCAUACGACCUACGGGUGAAAGCAGGGGACCUUCGGGCCUUGCGCGAUUGAAUGAGCCGAUGUCGGAUUAGCUAGUUGGCGGGGUAAAGGCCCACCAAGGCGACGAUCCGUAGCUGGUUUGAGAGGAUGAUCAGCCACACUGGAGCUGAGAAACGGUCCAGACUCCUACGGGAGGCAGCAGUGGGGAAUAUUGGACAAUGGGCGCAAGCCUGAUCCAGCCAUACCGCGUGGGUGAAGAAGGCCUUCGGGUUGUAAAGCCCUUUUGUUGGGAAAGAAAUCCAGCUGGCUAAUACCCGGUUGGGAUGACGGUACCCAAAGAAUAAGCACCGGCUAACUUCGUGCCAGCAACCGCAGUAA